rnacentral:rRNA from 1 species
GAUGAACGCUGGCGGCGUGCCUAAUACAUGCAAGUCGAGCGAACAGACGAGGAGCUUGCUCCUCUGACGUUAGCGGCGGACGGGUGAGUAACACGUGGAUAACCUACCUAUAAGACUGGGAUAACUUCGGGAAACCGGAGCUAAUACCGGAUAAUAUAUUGAACCGCAUGGUUCAAUAGUGAAAGACGGUUUUGCUGUCACUUAUAGAUGGAUCCGCGCCGCAUUAGCUAGUUGGUAAGGUAACGGCUUACCAAGGCAACGAUGCGUAGCCGACCUGAGAGGGUGAUCGGCCACACUGGAACUGAGACACGGUCCAGACUCCUACGGGAGGCAGCAGGAGGGAAUCUUCCGCAAGGGGCGAAAGCUUGACGGAGCAACGCCGCGUGAGUGAUGAAGGUCUGCGGAUCGUAAAACUCUGUUAUUAGGGAAGAACAAAUGUGUAAGUAACUAUGCACGUCUUGACGGUACCUAAUCAGAAAGCCACGGCUAACUACGU